CCUACGGGUGGCAGCAGUGAGGAAUAUUGGUCAAUGGGCGAGAGCCUGAACCAGCCAAGUCGCGUGAGGGAGUACUGCCCUAUGGGUUGUAAACCUCUUUUGUCGGGGAGCAAAAGCCGGACGUGUCCGGCUGUGAGAGUACCCGAAGAAAAAGCAUCGGCUAACUCCGUGCCAGCAGCCGCGGUAAUACGGAGGAUGCGAGCGUUAUCCGGAUUUAUUGGGUUUAAAGGGUGCGCAGGCGGAUUUUUAAGUCAGCGGUAAAAUCGUGGGGCUCAACCCCAUCCAGCCGUUUAAACUGGGGAUCUAGAGUGUGCGAGAGGUAUGCGGAAUGCGUGGUGUAGCGGUGAAAUGCAUAGAUAUCACGCAGAACCCCGAUUGCGAAGGCAGCAUACCGGUGCACAACUGACGCUCAGGCACGAAAGCGUGGGUAUCGAACAGGAUUAGAUACCCCAGUAGUC
rnacentral:rRNA from 1 species